UUGACCUCAAAUCAGGUAGGACUACCCGCUGAACUUAAGCAUAUCAAUAAGCGGAGGAAAAGAAACUAACAAGGAUUCCCCUAGUAACUGCGAGUGAAGCGGGAAAAGCUCAAAUUUAAAAUCUGGCGGUCUUUGGCCGUCCGAGUUGUAAUCUAGAGAAGUGUUAUCCGCGCUGGACCGUGUACAAGUCUCCUGGAAUGGAGCGUCAUAGAGGGUGAGAAUCCCGUCUUUGACACGGACUGCCAGGGCUUUGUGAUGCGCUCUCAAAGAGUCGAGUUGUUUGGGAAUGCAGCUCAAAAUGGGUGGUAAAUUCCAUCUAAAGCUAAAUAUUGGCGAGAGACCGAUAGCGAACAAGUACCGUGAGGGAAAGAUGAAAAGAACUUUGGAAAGAGAGUUAAACAGUACGUGAAAUUGCUGAAAGGGAAACGCUUGAAGUCAGUCGCAUUGUCUGGGAAUCAACCUUGCUUUUGCUGGGCGUACUUUCCAGAUGAUGGGUCAGCAUCAAUUUUGACCGUUGGAUAAAGUCCGAAGGAAUGUGGCAUCUUCGGGUGUGUUAUAGCCUUUGGUCGCAUACAACGGUUGGGAUUGAGG
rnacentral:rRNA from 1 species